AUGAUUUUUUUCUCUGAAGGAGAGAAAGUCAAGAAUGAGGAUAAUCUAUCCCUUCAAGCCCCUUUUACUGAAGAAGAGGUAAAAAAGGCUGUUUUUGGAUCCUACUCAGAUGGAGCCCCUGGUCCUGAUGGCCUUUCUUUCCUCUUUCUCCAGCAAUUCUGGGAGAUUUUGAAAGUUGAUAUUAUGGCUCUCUUCAAAGAUUUUUUUGAAGGAGAGCUUGACAUAUAUAGACUUAACUUUGCUAUGAUCACUCUAAUCCCUCAGGAGAAAGAUGCUACUAGUAUGAAUUUUUUUAGACCAAUUAGCCUUCUGAACUGUAUUUUUAAAACUUUUACAAAGGUUUUAACUAAUAGAUUAGCCAAGUUGAUGAACCUCCUCACUUCCAGUAACCAGUCUACCUUCAUAAAAGGCAGGUUUAUUUUGGAGAGUGUGGUCAUAGCACAUGAGGUGCUGCACUCUACUGUCCAUUCUAGUAAUUCUGGUGCAGUGAUUAAACUAGAUUAUGAAAAAGCCUUUGACAAAGUUAAUCUAGACUUCUUGUAUGAGGCGCUGGAGAAAAGAAACUUCAGCCCUAGAUGGAUUAAUUGGAUAAAACAAAUUACUCAGCUAGGGUCUAUUGGUGUGAAGAUUAAUGGUGUAGAAGGGAACUUUUUUACUACUAGUAAAGGGCUUAGACAGGGGGACCCUGCUUCCCCUUUGUUGUUUAAUCUUGUCAUUGAUGUUCUGACCAGGAUGCUAAUUAAAGCUGCAUCACAUGACCUAGUGAAAGGCUUAUGCUCUGAUCUCAUCCCUUGCGGGGUCAUCUGCUUGCAGUAUGCAGAUGACACUAUCCUGUUCCUAGAUAAUGAUGUAGAAAAAGCAGCUAAACUCAAAAUUAUUUUGACUUGCUUUGAGAACGUUUCUGGUAUGAAAAUUAACUACACUAAGGGUGAAAUCAUACCUAUAGGUCUAUCUGAGGAAGAGAUUAAACCCUUUCAAUACAUCAUGGGCUGUACUGUGGGUACAUUCCCAAUAAAAUACCUAGGCAUUCCUCUUCAUUAUGACAAGCUUAGAAGAGAGGACAUACAAGCUCUUAUUGAUAAAAUCCUCAAGAGAAUGGCAGGGUGGAAAGGAAAGCUACUCUCCUAUUCUGCCAGGAUUGUCUUGAUUAAAACCUGCCUUGCAAGUAUCCCUGUAUACCUGCUUGCUUUCUUUAAAUUUCCUAGAUGGGCACUUGACUUAAUCAAUAGUCAGAUGGCUCACUGUCUGUGGAGUGACUUUGAAGGGAACAGGAAGUUACACCUUGCUAAUUGGCAUCUAGUCUGUAUGAAGAAAGAGUAUGGUGGUCUAGGUAUCCCAAACAUCAGGGAUGUAAACCUAUGUCUCUUGGGCACCUGGGUGAAGAGAUACACCCAGGAUGGGGGCAAAAUCUAG
rnacentral:rRNA from 1 species